AGCGGAAGUAGUUGUGGGCGCCUUUGCAACCGCCUGGGACGCCGCCGAGUAGUCUGUGCAGGUUCGCGGGUCGCUGGCGGGGGUCGUGAGGGAGUGCGCCGGGAGCGGAGAUAUGGAGGGAGAUGGUUCAGACCCAGAGCCUCCAGAUGCCGGGGAGGACAGCAAGUCGGAGAAUGGGGAGAAUGCGCCCAUCUACUGCAUCUGCCGCAAACCGGACAUAAACUGCUUCAUGAUCGGGUGUGACAACUGCAAUGAGUGGUUCCAUGGGGACUGCAUCCGGAUCACUGAGAAGAUGGCCAAGGCCAUCCGGGAGUGGUACUGUCGGGAGUGCAGAGAGAAGGACCCCAAGCUAGAGAUUCGCUAUCGGCACAAGAAGUCACGGGAGCGGGAUGGCAAUGAGCGGGACAGCAGUGAGCCCCGGGAUGAGGGUGGAGGGCGCAAGAGGCCUGUCCCCGAUCCAGACCUGCAGCGCCGGGCAGGGUCAGGGACAGGGGUUGGGGCCAUGCUUGCUCGGGGCUCUGCUUCGCCCCACAAAUCCUCUCCGCAGCCCUUGGUGGCCACACCCAGCCAGGUGAGUGGCUGCAUAAAGUGAGUGGAUGUGUAAAGUGGUUCCGUUUCAGCCUUGCCUGGGUCCAUGAUUUCUGUUUUGGGCCCCCUCCUCCAGCAUCACCAGCAGCAGCAGCAGAUCAAACGGUCAGCCCGCAUGUGUGGUGAGUGUGAGGCAUGUCGGCGCACUGAGGACUGUGGUCACUGUGACUUCUGUCGGGACAUGAAGAAGUUUGGGGG
rnacentral:sRNA from 1 species